ensembl:lncRNA
GUGAACCUGACUCCGCUGGCGGAGGAGCCGCAGGCGGCCGGCGUGGAUCUCGAGCAGCCCCCCUCAGGUGAGCAGCAGCGCCCCCUCGCUUCCUUCGCUCUGCCAUCGUAGCUGAACAAAAGAGUCACUCAUUUAAUAUUACUUCGAGAGCUGCGGGAACAUCAACAACGCAAAUAAAACCGAUGUGUUCCCUGAACCCACAGGUCCCGCCCCCAAGCGCUCGGCGCCAUCGACGUGCUGGGAAAGGUCGGUGAAGGUCUUUGUGUUGUGAUUCUCGUCUCUGCACGCCGUGUCCAGAGUGAUGUAUUCUCCUCUUCCUCCCUGUGCCCCCUGCAGCUCCUCCUCCUCCUCCCCCCUCUGUCCCACUGGAGGCUGGAGUGAGUCCGGCCUCCAGCAGCUUCGUCCCUCUUUCUCCCCCUAUCCGGCGACUCCUCCUCCUCCUCUCUUCCCGCCGCCUCAUUUCCACACAUUCCUGGCCGCCCAGCAGCCUCUCAGCGGUUUCCCCCCUGGAUACCCCCCCCCUACGCCCCUUUGGACACUGCCAAACCUCCAGGGGGCCCCCAUCCCUUCCCUGUGCCCCUCUACCGCCAUACCGGCCCUCAUCCCCAAGGAGUGGUACCGGCAUCAGACGAAGAAGGAAAGGUCCCCUCACAGAGAAUCCUCCAGCAGGCGCUCCUCCUCCCGAUCGGAUCCAAAGUCCUCAAAGUUCAAGCCUUCUCGCUCUUCGAGCAGGUCCAGGUCCCGGUCUCGGUCCCACGGCCGAUCAAGGCCGCCCUCGCGCCACAAAGACCUGCACAGCCGCUCUCACUCCUCCCGCUCCUACAGCUUUGGUUACAAACGUUCCCCCACGCCGUCCUCCUCGUCCUCGCCGCGAGGCGGCUACCGCUCCAGGCACAAGUCGCCGGCGGACCCCCGCCAAAGAAGCGGCCACCACAGUCGGCACCACGGUAAGAAAUCCGCUUCGGGCGGCGGCAGCGGCUCCGCCUCCAGGAGGCGAGGGGAGGAUGACGAGAGGGAGGCGGGAGCCUCGGGGGGGAGCUUACCUGGACACCUGUACGCUCAGCACGCCAAUCCGAGUGGCGGCCUGGACAGAGAGCGCUACCUGCGGUGGAGCCGCGAGUACAAAGAGUGGUGUGAUAAAUAUUUCAGUAGCUACGUGGGCCACUUCCACCAGCUGCCGCUUCCCCUCCUCAAUAUCCCCCCUCCCCCCCAGUGGGAGGACGGGGAAGGAAGCGCAAACCGCUCUGACUAUGGCGGCCAACGCCGCGGACGACGCGCCGCUCGGACGGAGGGCCGCUCGCCGCCAUCGCGCUCCUCCAGCGACAGCCGCUCCCCUCCAUCGCGCUCCUCGAGGGACAGCCGCUCCACGCUGUCUCAGUCGUCCAGCGACAGCCACUCGUCUCCGUCUUGUUCGUCCGGGAGCCUGUCCUCGCCGUCUCGGUCGUCCAGCGACCGGCGCUCCACACCGUCCAAAGGGGGUGUUCAGCCGAGGCCACAGAGCGGCGCCGGGAGCUGCGCCGGCCCGCCGGUCACAAAGAGCGGGGAGGACGAGAAGCACGAAGACGUGAAAGCUUCGGGGAGACUCGGCACCUUAAAACAGCAGCCAAAGAAGAAACGCGCCGAAGGAGGCGACGAAGAGUCCUCGUCCCUCGAUGCUGCUGACUCGGCGGAUGACUGCAGGGAGGACCGGAGGAGGCGCGGCGCCGGACCAAAAGCCUUCAGGGACGGCGCUCCUGCGCGGGACGAACGGACUACCGGCGAUGCCUUGGAACCUGCCCGGCCACUCGCCCAACCAGAGAGACGCCGGGAUAAAGAGUAUGAGAGAAGACGCAGAGAACACAGGCACGUGGAAGUAGAGAAAGGACGGAGACGAGGCAAACAUUCCGACUCCAGGCAGGAUGUGGGGAGGAGGCACAAAGAGACGGACACGCGGCGCACUGACAGACCGCCAACCGGCAGCACCGACUCGAGAUCACACCGGAGUAGGAAAAGAAAAGGAGAAGAGAGAGAGAGAAGUUCUCUGAGGGCGGAAAACAGCAAAUGCUUGAAAACGAACACCGCAGAGGAACCCAAAAGCCGCAGGAGUGAAUCCCUGAAUCCACUUGACAAGAAGACGCCAAAAGCGGAGCAGAAGAAAGAGAGGAAAGCUUUGCCUCUGACGGAGAGAGACGUCUGGGAGGGGGGGAUAAGUGUGAAACCACAGAAGAAGAUAAGCAUCAACAUUAACCUCGAAGGAAAGCGGAGCGAAGAGAAAACUGAAAAGCAGCCGUUUUCUUAUUUCGACAACGCGAAGGAAGAAGUCAAGGAGGCAGGACAGAAGGAGAAGUCAAACGGAGACACAGACACUGAGGCAAAUGAGAAGACCGAGUCCAGCAGGGAAGUGGAAGGUCUGUCUGAAGAAAACGUCCAACCGAAUGAAGAAGCAAGACAGAAAUGGGAGAAAGCUACCUUCAGGGAUGAUAAGGGAGUGACGUUGGAGAAAACGGCGACUCCCGCCCUCAGAGCGGAGGAGACAACCGAACAGGGUCAACUGCUGUGGGACGAAGGAGACGGGACGGAGGCCAGCAAAGGGGGAGAGGUGAGGAACACCAGGAGCGUGAGGGGAGGAGAUGCAGGACCGGCGACGGGAGAAAGCACAUUGGCGGAGAACAAGGGAAACUCGCCGGGGGAGUCAAAGGACGUCCCGAUGGAGGGAGGAGAGUGGAGGAUGUGGGAGGACAAGGAGGACGAAUACAGGUCCAAGUGCCAGAGCAGCAUCAGCGAGAUCCACCAAGACGGAGCGAAGCCCCCGGGGGAGGACGGCAGGUCAGACAGCUUCUGCUUCACGUGUAAUAAUAAUGAUGAAAUAUGA